rnacentral:rRNA from 1 species
GUCCACGCUGUAAACGAUGGGCGCUAGGUGUGGGCGGUGUCGACUCCGUCCGUGCCGCAGCUAACGCAUUAAGCGCCCCGCCUGGGGAGUACGGCCGCAAGGCUAAAACUCAAAGGAAUUGACGGGGGCCCGCACAAGCAGCGGAGCAUGUGGUUCAAUUCGACGCAACGCGAAGAACCUUACCAGGGCUUGACAUGCACGGGAAAACCGUGGAAACACGGUCCCCCGCAAGGGUCCGUGCACAGGUGGUGCAUGGCUGUCGU